CGAACGGUAACAGGAAGCAGCUUGCUGCUUCGCUGACGAGUGGCGGACGGGUGAGUAAUGUCUGGGAAGCUGCCUGAUGGAGGGGGAUAACUACUGGAAACGGUAGCUAAUACCGCAUAAUGUCGCAAGACCAAAGAGGGGGACCUUCGGGCCUCUUGCCAUCGGAUGUGCCCAGAUGGGAUUAGCUUGUUGGUGGGGUAACGGCUCACCAAGGCGACGAUCCCUAGCUGGUCUGAGAGGAUGACCAGCCACACUGGAACUGAGACACGGUCCAGACUCCUACGGGAGGCAGCAGUGGGGAAUAUUGCACAAUGGGCGCAAGCCUGAUGCAGCCAUGCCGCGUGUAUGAAGAAGGCCUUCGGGUUGUAAAGUACUUUCAGCGGGGAGGAAGGGAGUAAAGUUAAUACCUUUGCUCAUUGACGUUACCCGCAGAAGAAGCACCGGCUAACUCCGUGCCAGCAGCCGCGGUAAUACGGAGGGUGCAAGCGUUAAUCGGAAUUACUGGGCGUAAAGCGCACGCAGGCGGUUUGUUAAGUCAGAUGUGAAAUCCCCGGGCUCAACCUGGGAACUGCAUCUGAUACUGGCAAGCUUGAGUCUCGUAGAGGGGGGUAGAAUUCCAGGUGUAGCGGUGAAAUGCGUAGAGAUCUGGAGGAAUACCGGUGGCGAAGGCGGCCCCCUGGACGAAGACUGACGCUCAGGUGCGAAAGCGUGGGGAGCAAACAGGAUUAGAUACCCUGGUAGUCCACGCCGUAAACGAUGUCGACUUGGAGGUUGUGCCCUUGAGGCGUGGCUUCCGGAGCUAACGCGUUAAGUCGACCGCCUGGGGAGUACGGCCGCAAGGUUAAAACUCAAAUGAAUUGACGGGGGCCCGCACAAGCGGUGGAGCAUGUGGUUUAAUUCGAUGCAACGCGAAGAACCUUACCUGGUCUUGACAUCCACGGAAGUUUUCAGAGAUGAGAAUGUGCCUUCGGGAACCGUGAGACAGGUGCUGCAUGGCUGUCGUCAGCUCGUGUUGUGAAAUGUUGGGUUAAGUCCCGCAACGAGCGCAACCCUUAUCCUUUGUUGCCAGCGGUCCGGCCGGGAACUCAAAGGAGACUGCCAGUGAUAAACUGGAGGAAGGUGGGGAUGACGUCAAGUCAUCAUGGCCCUUACGACCAGGGCUACACACGUGCUACAAUGGCGCAUACAAAGAGAAGCGACCUCGCGAGAGCAAGCGGAUCUCAUAAAGUGCGUCGUAGUCCGGAUUGGAGUCUGCAACUCGACUCCAUGAAGUCGGAAUCGCUAGUAAUCGUGGAUCAGAAUGCCACGGUGAAUACGUUCCCGGGCCUUGUACACACCGCCCGUCACACCAUGGGAGUGGGUUGCAAAAGAAGUAGGUAGCUUAACCUUCGGGAGGGCGCUUACCACUUUGUGAUUCAUGACUGGGGUGAAGUCGUAACAAGGUAACCGUAGGGGAACCUGCGGUUG
rnacentral:rRNA from 1 species